UCCGGUUUGUCACCGGCAGUCUCAUUAGAGUGCCCAACUAAAUGUAGCAACUAAUGACAAGGGUUGCGCUCGUUGCGGGACUUAACCCAACAUCUCACGACACGAGCUGACGACAGCCGUGCACCACCUGUGUAACUGUCCCGAAGGAAGACCGUGUUUCCACGGCUGUCAGAGGAUGUCAAACCCAGGUAAGGUUCUUCGCGUUGCAUCGAAUUAAUCCACAUGCUCCGCCGCUUGUGCGGGCCCCCGUCAAUUCCUUUGAGUUUUAGCCUUGCGGCCGUACUCCCCAGGCGGGGCGCUUAAUGCGUUAGCUACGGCACGGAUCCCGUGGAAGGAAACCCACACCUAGCGCCCACCGUUUACGGCGUGGACUAC
rnacentral:misc_RNA from 1 species